rnacentral:rRNA from 1 species
AUUGAACGCUGGCGGCAGGCUUAACACAUGCAAGUCGAGCGGGGGAGGUUGCUUCGGUAACUGACCUAGCGGCGGACGGGUGAGUAAUGCUUAGGAAUCUGCCUAUUAGUGGGGGACAACAUUCCGAAAGGGAUGCUAAUACCGCAUACGCCCUACGGGGGAAAGCAGGGGAUCUUCGGACCUUGAGCUAAUAGAUGAGCCUAAGUCGGAUUAGCUAGUUGGUGGGGUAAAGGCCUACCAAGGCGACGAUCUGUAGCGGGUCUGAGAGGAUGAUCCGCCACACUGGGACUGAGACACGGCCCAGACUCCUACGGGAGGCAGCAGUGGGGAAUAUUGGACAAUGGGCGGAAGCCUGAUCCAGCCAUGCCGCGUGUGUGAAGAAGGCCUUUUGGUUGUAAAGCACUUUAAGCGAGGAGGAGGCUCUUAAGGUUAAUACCCUUGAUGAGUGGACGUUACUCGCAGAAUAAGCACCGGCUAACUCUGUGCCAGCCGCCGCGGUAAAAC